AGCAGCCGCGGUAAUUCCAGCUCCAAUAGCGUAUAUUAAAGUUGCUGCAGUUAAAAAGCUCGUAGUUGAAUUUCGGGAUCAAUAUGUUGGUCGUGCCUUGGUACGUACUAGCUUAUUGAUUUCUUCCUUCUGAUGAACCAUGAUGUCAUUAAUUUGGUGUCAUGAGGAAUCAGGACUGUUACUUUGAAAAAAAUUAG
rnacentral:misc_RNA from 1 species